UACGUAGGGGGCGAGCGUUGUCCGGAUUCAUUGGGCGUAAAGAGCUCGUAGGCGGCUUGCUAAGUCAGGUGUGAAAUCUCCAGGCUCAACCUGGAGUCGCCACCUGAUACUGGUAUGGCUGGAGUCCGGUAGGGGAUCACGGAAUUCCUGGUGUAGCGGUGAAAUGCGCAGAUAUCAGGAGGAACACCGGUGGCGAAGGCGGGUCUCUGGGCAGUAACUGACGCUGAGGAGCGAAAGCGUGGGGAGCGAACAGG
rnacentral:rRNA from 1 species